rnacentral:rRNA from 1 species
ACGGGUGAGUAAUGUCUGGGAAACUGCCUGAUGGAGGGGGAUAACUACUGGAAACGGUAGCUAAUACCGCAUAACGUCGCAAGACCAAAGAGGGGGACCUUCGGGCCUCUUGCCAUCAGAUGUGCCCAGAUGGGAUUAGCUAGUAGGUGGGGUAAUGGCUCACCUAGGCGACGAUCCCUAGCUGGUCUGAGAGGAUGACCAGCCACACUGGAACUGAGACACGGUCCAGACUCCUACGGGAGGCAGCAGUGGGGAAUAUUGCACAAUGGGCGCAAGCCUGAUGCAGCCAUGCCGCGUGUGUGAAGAAGGCCUUCGGGUUGUAAAGCACUUUCAGCGAGGAGGAAGGUGGUGAACUUAAUACGUUCAUCAAUUGACGUUACUCGCAGAAGAAGCACCGGCUAACUCCGUGCCAGCAGCCGCGGUAAUACGGAGGGUGCAAGCGUUAAUCGGAAUUACUGGGCGUAAAGCGCACGCAGGCGGUUUGUUAAGUCAGAUGUGAAAUCCCCGGGCUCAACCUGGGAACUGCAUUUGAAACUGGCAAGCUAGAGUCUCGUAGAGGGGGGUAGAAUUCCAGGUGUAG